UGGGGAAUAUUGCACAAUGGGCGCAAGCCUGAUGCAGCCAUGCCGCGUGUGUGAAGAAGGCCUUCGGGUUGUAAAGCACUUUCAGCGGGGAGGAAGGCGUUAAGGUUAAUAACCUUGGCGAUUGACGUUACCCGCAGAAGAAGCACCGGCUAACUCCGUGCCAGCAGCCGCGGUAAUACGGAGGGUGCAAGCGUUAAUCGGAAUUACUGGGCGUAAAGCGCACGCAGGCGGUUGAUUGAGUCAGAUGUGAAAUCCCCGGGCUUAACCCGGGAAUUGCAUCUGAUACUGGUCAGCUAGAGUCUUGUAGAGGGGGGUAGAAUUCCAUGUGUAGCGGUGAAAUGCGUAGAGAUGUGGAGGAAUACCGGUGGCGAAGGCGGCCCCCUGGACAAAGACUAACGCUCAGGUGCGAAAGCGUGGGGAGCAAACAGG
rnacentral:rRNA from 1 species